GGGAGGCCCCGCCCCACUGCGGCGGGACCGGCGGCGGUCGCUGUGGGGAACAGCGCGGGGGGGAGCCCCCCCCAUGGGGGUCCGGGAAAAAUAAAGGAUACAGUGCUGAUGAAACUGGAAAGGUUGAUAGGUUUCUGCAGCCAGGAAAAAAAAAAAAAAGGAGCAUAUCUUUGUAUGAGAAACAAAAUAUAUGAGAACUAUGGCAAGGAGACAAAAAUGAAAAAGAGGAUGGAACUGAGUAAGCAAAUCUGUAAAGAUAGGUUUGAUGCCUUUAUCAGUGGAGAAUUAAUCACAGCUGUCCGACAGCUCAAGUUUUGUGCGAUGACCAUUGGACCAAAUGAGUUUCCCAAGAAGGUGCAGGAGGAGUUUUCUGAAGUACCUGGUAGAGACCAUGUCCCAUGUUGCAAAUGUAAGUCUCUCUCAGGCAGACCCACUGCCUUCUAGGUGGGAUACACCAGAUGGGUGUGCUCUUUUAUCCCAAUUGUGCCAUAAAACCAUUCUUUAUUGCCCAAAUCCAGGAAAAGAAUUAAAAAGUCAUUCUGUCUAUUGUUCUACUGAGUGACUAGCAAGUAAUUGCAUAGCCCACUCGUGUACGUCACAUCAUGCUCAUCUCUAUCCACAAGGAAAAUCACUUUUAAUCUUUGGCUCCAUCAUAUGGAAAGUGUUCAAACUGAUAAAUUAUAUGGAGCAUUUUGACAGUUUCUUCCUAAUAGAAUUCAGUUUUCCAUAUUUUUGAGAAUUAUUUUCUCAUCUCUGUAAAGUAAAUAAGUCUAUAAAUCCUGGUCUAAAGGAUAACACUAAGAAUCUGGCAGUUAUUAAAUAACACACAGCUAAACUAAAGUAUUCUACCUUUCCCUCAUUUGUCAUGUAUUUUAGUAAUUUGUUUCACCUGUUGGCAGGUUUGAAGGUGAAUAUGUAUAGCAGAUACAAGUAGUAAUUUAUUUGGUAUUUAAGUUUGCAUGGCUGCCUGGGCUGUAGGAGUUUGAGUGAUUCAUCAGAGCCUUUUGUCCCCCAGACAGCACAGAUUCUGACCACUUCAUUGUGAUCCCAGGAUUUUUUUAAAAACCAAGGGGAGACAUGUCUAAACUUUCCAUUCUUGGCUAACAUGAACACAGCAUCCCAGCCCUUGCUUUGCCUCUGUGUGCUCACAGGCAAGUUGUAUACCCAAAGUUCUCCCUCAUUUUGAACACUUUAUGGAUUGUGUGCCUUCUGAAAUGUUCAGUUUUUAUCAGGUUCACAUCCUAUUCAUUGCUCAGCUACAUAACCUAUGGAGAAUGAUUGGCAUUCAUACUUAGAAAUGCCUUAUGCUUUCCUACCAGUAUGAAUUAUUGCUUUCAUCUCUGAAUUUACAUACAUUGAUGCUUGUGCAGAUUCUAGACACAUUUGGAAAGAAAUGCAUUUCAAGUGAUUGAUAGAACAAAGGUGGUUUCUUGUUCUCAUCAGACUAUUCUUUAAAAUAUAUCACAUAACUGACUGACUUAGUAUUUUCAUCACUGUAUUUAGUUCAGACUCACCAAAACUGAUUCUGUCAAGGUGGGUUUGUCUUUUCUUUCCAGAGGUUUGUGCUGAAAUCCAAUCUGUUCUGCAUCUUCAAUGUUUUUGGGUUUUUAUAUUCUGAUGCUACUGAUGCCACACUUAGAAGAAAAAAAAUACUCUAGUUCCUUACAGUUCCCUCUUUGCUUAUGAAGCUGGAAUUUGACUCCACCUCAGAAAUGGGUUUUUAUUCAGUGUUGUAUUGGGUUUGUGUGGCAAGAUUUUGGUAGCGGGGGUGGGAGCUACAGGAGAGGCUUCUUUGAGAUGCUGCCAGAAGCUUCCCCCAUGGCCAAAAGAGCCAAAGCCAGCCGGCUCCAGGACAGACCCACUGCUGGCCAGGGCUGAGCCCAUCACACCUCUGGGAUAACUUAUUUAAGAAGGGAAGCAGAAGCAAUUGCAGCCAGAGAAGAGAGAAGUUAGAAUAUGUGAGAGAAACAGCCCUGCAGACACAAAGGUCAGUGAGGAAGGAAGGGGAGGAGGUGCUCCAGAUGAAGAACAUGCUGAGGCAGGUUGUCCCCUUGCAGCCUGUGGAGGUCCAUGGGGAAGCAGAGAUCUACCUGCAGCCCAUGGAGGACCCCACACCAGAGCAGGUGGAUGCCUGAAGAAGGUUGUGGCCCCAUGGGAAGCCCAUGCUGGAGCAGUCUCCUGGCGGGACUUGUGGACCUGUGGAGAAUGGAGCCCACACUGGAACAAGUUUGAUGGCAAGACUUGUGACCCUGUGGGAGACCAACGCUGGCACAGUCUGUUCCUGAAAGACUGCACCCCAUGGAAAGCUACCUAUGCUGGAGCAGUUUGUGACAAACUGUUGCCUGUGGAAGGACUCAUGCUGGUGAAGUUUGGGAGAACUGUCUUCUGUAGGAUGGACCCCCAAUGGAGCAGGGAAAGGACUCUUCUCCAUGAGGAAGCAGCAGCAAAA